AUAAUUUUAUGGUUUAUAAGCAUGAUGAUUGGGUUUUCAUGCUAUUGUGUGAAACGUGCCUUCCUCUAAACCUUGUUGACAUCACAUUACCUAUCCAAUG